AGUGGACGCUGGCGGCGUGCCUAAUACAUGCAAGUCGAACGGAAUUUAAGAGGGCUUGCUCUUUUAAAUUUAGUGGCGCACGGGUGAGUAAUAUAUAGCUAAUCUGCCCCUUGCUGGAGGACAACAGUUAGAAAUGACUGCUAAUACUCCAUACUCCUUUUUACCAUAAGAUAAAUCGGGAAAGAAUUUCGGCAAGGGAUGAGACUAUAUCGUAUCAGCUAGUCGGUGGGGUAACGGCCUACCGAGGCUAUGACGCGUAACUGGUCUGAGAGGAUGAUCAGUCACAUUGGAACUGAGACUCGGUCCAAACUUCUAC
rnacentral:rRNA from 1 species